rnacentral:rRNA from 1 species
CUACCAAGACAGUGACGGUUGACGGGGAAUCAGGGUUUGAUACCGGAGAGGGAGCCUGAGAGACAGCUCCCACGUCCAUGGACGGCAGCAGGCGCGAAAAUUGCCCACUCUUUGUAGGAGGCAGUUAUGAGGCGUAAUGAUGAUUGUUCGGUAAAGAUGAACAGGAGAAUUGGAGGGCAAGUUUGGUGCCAGCCGCCGCGGUAAUACCGACUCCAAGAGUGUGUAUGAGAGAUGCUGCAGUUAAAAAGUCCGUAGUCGUAGAAGCAGAAAUAGGGACUUUGUCUCGAAAUUUAGCGAUAGAAAAGCCGAUGGGGAACAUAGUAUACCAGGGCGAGAGAUGAAAUGCCAAGACCCCUGGUGGACUGAGCGAGGCGAAAGCGAUGUUCUUGUAGGAAUUUGAUGAUCAAGGACGAAGGCUGGAGUAUCGAAAGUGAUUAGAUACCGCAGUAGUUCCAGCAGUAAAAGAUGCC